AAGUUCAUGGGACAACUGAAAUGGUUGCCAUGAUGGGAACAGCUACAAUAUUAUGAAUCACAGAUUCCUUCCCUAUCAAGAACAUUCAGUGAGGCAUGGCAACGGUAUAUGACAUGCAAAUGAACCUCCUUGCUGGAGACAAAGACCAUAGCACAUCUCUAGUCACAAUAACUCUCUUAGCUCAUUUCACUUCACAUUCACAUUGUAUCACUUUCUGCUUGACCAGUUCUUCUGUUAUCUCUUUUAUUUCUUGAAACCCAGGGAAUUAGAAACCUACCAAUCUUGGACUGAGGAAGCACUUUUUCCUGAUAAAUUCUGGAAGCAAACUAUUUUUUUCUCAGAUACAGCAAUAUGUAUAUGUUGGACAACAUCUCAGACAGAUCAACAAAUGGGGUUUAAUAUCUCUGUUAUUCUGCCAUCAAUCAUUGUCUGGAUUCAAACAAGCAUCUACAUCAAGAGGACAUGAAUACUUCUGCAGCAGACCGAUGAAUAAGAGAAAUAAUAGAUGACAGACUGCAUGGAAGAAAUUUAUUUGCAAAAACCCCCCCUGCAAUAUUGAAGUUGCAUUCUCUUGUAAUCUGUAAUUGCUGCAGAAAAUUGGUCCAAUAUAAUAUGUAUAUUAAUGAAUAAAUAGCAAAAACAAAUAAAUAAUAGUAGCAGUUUAACAUCAGAGUUUAUUUUCAUUUAUUACAUCUAUCCAAUUUCUUUUAUUCUGAACAAGGUGCUUUCUAUUUUGAACUGGAAAUAGUUUAUUGUAUUUUAUUUAUGAAAUGCUCAGGCAUUGAAAUUGGUCCUUUUGAUAAAAAAUGAGGUAAUAAGUUGAUUAACCCAAACACUCCAUCUCUAUUAAAACAUGGCUCUGAAUAUGGAUGUGGGAAAUUAUUAUGAUUCAAAAUGCAUUAUAAUUCUCAUUGGAGUUUUAAAAAUGCUUGAGAACUCACAGAAUUGACAUUGAUGCCUGACAAUAUAAAGUGUGAAUCUAUGGACUACAGAAAGAAAAUGUGAUGGUACAAUAUGAUGCCCUUAUCAAUGGAUUGAAAUCCAUGGUUAUACUUGCCUACUCUCCAGAGCCUAUUGGCUGUUAAGAAUUGUAGGAGUUGAAGUCUAAAACACCUGGAGGGCCAAAGAUUGCCUAUGCCUGAUCUAGAUCCAUACAGCCAUCUUAAUGAGUGUUCCUUGUGUGAAUAA
rnacentral:lncRNA from 1 species